rnacentral:rRNA from 1 species
GUGGGGAAUUUUGGACAAUGGGCGAAAGCCUGAUCCAGCCAUGCCGCGUGUGUGAAGAAGGUCUUCGGAUUGUAAAGCACUUUAAGUUGGGAGGAAGGGCAGUAAGUUAAUACCUUGCUGUUUUGACGUUACCGACAGAAUAAGCACCGGCUAACUUCGUGCCAGCAGCCGCGGUAAUACGAAGGGUGCAAGCGUUAAUCGGAAUUACUGGGCGUAAAGCGCGCGUAGGUGGUUUUGUAAGUUGGAGGUGAAAUCCCCGGGCUCAACCUUGGAACUGCCUCCAAAACUGCAUGACUAGAGUACGGUAGAGGGUAGUGGAAUUUCCUGUGUAGCGGUGAAAUGCGUAGAUAUAGGAAGGAACACCAGUGGCGAAGGCGACUACCUGGACUGAUACUGACACUGAGGUGCGAAAGCGUGGGGAGCAAACAGGAUUAGAAACCCGGGUAGUCC